rnacentral:rRNA from 1 species
AACGAACGCUGGCGGCAGGCUUAACACAUGCAAGUCGAACGCUCCGCAAGGAGAGCGGCAGACGGGUGAGUAACGCGUGGGAAUCUACCCAACUCUACGGAAUAACUCAGGGAAACUUGUGCUAAUACCGUAUACGCCCUUCGGGGGAAAGAUUUAUCGGAGUUGGAUGAGCCCGCGUUGGAUUAGCUAGUUGGUGGGGU